CUUCGUCUCAUUACUUAGGAAGCGCUCGCGAGUGUGAAUGUAAAUCGGAAAUUUAUUGUACGUUUUACACAAUUUUACACAAACGAGACACACACAGGAUUUUAAUUGUCAAGCAGAUAUACAAUCCGCUUUUAUAGGUAAUAAAACAGGUAUAUAUCUAAUUUAACGUCGAAAUAACACUGAGAAUGAAACAAAAGGUGACAAUGGACGUCGAAGGAACAGGAUGUCCUGCCCCGAAGAAGGCAUCCGCCGUUUGCAACAAAAGUGUGAUAAUCAAUGGUAUUAACGGUCAUGUCGAGACGGCGGAGCGCGAAGGAACCACGGAGAAAGGUGCGCGGUCUCCGGAAGAGAGGGAGGCCAUGCUGACUGGCGACGUGAAGCCGAUGCAGUGCCGGGUUUACUGGACCAGGUUCCUGAUCCUGACCGUGUUCAGUCUGUACUCCAUGAUCAACGCCUUCCAGUGGAUCCAGUACAGCAUCAUCUCCAAUAUCUUCAGCACUUUCUACCAAGUCUCCUACGAGCAGAUCGACUGGUUGUCGGUUGUCUACAUGCUCGUCUACGUCCCUCUGAUCUUCCCCGCCGCCUGGCUGCUCGACAAGAAAGGCUUGCGGAUCGUGGCGCUGCUGGGUUCCGGUCUCAACUGCAUCGGAGCGUGGAUUAAAAUCGCAAGCGUAAGGCGAGACCUGUUUGGGGUGACCAUGUUCGCCCAAACGGUCUGUUCCAUCGCUCAGAUUUUUAUCCUCGGGCUGCCCUCUCGAGUGGCCUCCGUUUGGUUCGGGCCCCGAGAGGUGUCUACGGCGUGCGCCACCGCCGUCCUGGGCAAUCAGCUUGGUGUGGCUUUAGGUUUUCUUUUGCCUCCAAUUUUGGUGCCUAAUACUCCAGAUGAUCUUGAUCGGAUGGCAAGCAACAUAAGUAUAUUAUUUUAUGGAACAGCUGCCAUAGCCACUGUGUUGUUCAUCCUGGUUGUAGCAGUAUUUAAAGACAAGCCUCCACUUCCUCCAAGCCAGUCCCAAGCAGUGCUUUUGGAAAGCCCUGAUGAGUAUUCCUACAAACAAUCAAUUGUAAAUUUGUUUAAGAGUGUUCCAUUUGUGCUACUGCUAUUAAGUUAUGGUAUUCUGACAGGGUCAUAUUAUUCAGUAGGAACACUAUUAAAUCAAAUGAUCAUUGCUCACUAUGAGGGACAAGAAUUGAAUGCUGGUAGAAUUGGAUUAACUUUAGUGGUUUCAGGAAUGGUAGGUUCCAUCAUCUCUGGUUUCUGGGUGGAUCGUACAAAGGCAUACAAGAAGACCACCCUUGCAGUCUACAUUAUUUCAUUUAUUGGAAUGCUUGUUUUCACCUUUACCAUAAGCCUUGGCCAUAUCGAAGUAGUGUUUGUGACAGCUGGAGUCUUGGGUUUUUUCAUGACUGGUUAUCUUCCAUUGGGCUUUGAGUUUGGUGUAGAAAUAACCUAUCCAGAAUCCGAGGGAACAUCAUCUGGACUUCUCAAUGCUUCUGCACAACUAUUUGGAAUUGUGUUCACACUGGCCCAAGGAAAGUUGAAAGCUGAUUAUGACACGUUUACAGGAAAUAUCUUUCUUUGUUCUUGGAUCUUUCUGGGACUCAUUCUUACAGAGCUCCUUUUACCAGCUGCUCCUCUCUCCAGCACAGGAAGUAUAUAGCCAGUUCAACAAACCACAGGUACUAAGUUUUGAUUGUAUGUUGAGUACUGUAAAUACAUUUAGUAAACUACAAUAGGUUUUCACAAAUUUUAUGUAAAUCAAUUAGCAAAAAAAGAAAUGAUGUUAGGUUAAUUAGUUAAUUGGAAAGUCUUGGAAGUUAUCAGUAGUACAUGGAAUUUGGAAACUGAGGGGAUCAACCAAUGAAUAAAAUGUUAAUCUGGAUGGAUGAUAUUAGAUCUUUUUCUUAAAUUACAUAGCUUAAGAAUGAAAUUCAGAUAGAAUGUUUAUGAAACUUCACUCCAAGUUUUGAUGGAUAAUUACUAAAGAAUUUUUGACUAAAUUGAAAUUGGAAAAGGCCUAUCAUCGUGUAGCAGUGCAGAUCACAUGAUCCCCAACAUGCUCUUCUGGUGAUCCAGUUGCAGCUCUGGGUGCAUACAAAUACAUAACACUUAAAGGCUUAGAUAAGAUACGGAGCAAGGAACUCUGCACUUGUUUGAGGUUCUGUAAUAAUCUGUUCUCCAGUGUGAGGUUGCUGCUAAUGGUUAAUCCUAGGAGAGGUUGUGCACAAAUCUUGACAACAUACACUGAUUCUGCAAAACCACCUAAAUGUAUUGCAGCUUUUUAACAGAUUUCCAGUAUCUCUUCUUUAUACAGUGUCUCAUCACUCUUCUGUCACUUGAAAUAAAGGCAUGUGGCAAAACAUGGUGGCUAUGCAAGUGACGGUAAGAAAACAAAAGAGUGGUAAGGGAAGAACUACACUUAAAUGGAUAUUCGCGAAUGAAAAGCUCACAGAGUAAAUUAUAAAGCUAGCUGAAACAUCUUUCAAGGAUCUGACCACUUCAUACAUUAUAAUCAUAAACUAUUAAGCUUUCAUUCUUGCUGUUUACAUCCUGUGAACUCUUUGAGUGUCUGCAGCUUUGCGACGCACACAUAGCUCUUGUUUGGUUUGCUGGCAUGUUUUUAUUAACAAGUCAAUUGUGAAGCUAGUCUCUUCAGGUUUUAGGAAAGAAAUAUAACCAUUCAACAUGAACGAACCAGGAUUGUGACUGUCCAUGGACAAUCGUGUACAGGGUAAGGCGGCAUUAUGCUGCUGCAAGUAAACAAAACCAUGGUGUUAUGAGAAAAAGAAAUUCUAAUAGGGAUUGAUUGGUACUAUGGAUUGGAAUACUGUCCCCUCACCUCUGGGGUCUCUAUUGAAUUGAGGCUCAAUGUAGUUUGUGAAUGAGGUAGUUUUAAAUACAUAAAUUUGUAACUGAUAAUCUACUUCUUUAACUCACACAAUUCCCCCACCUGGGCAGCUAGUGGUUUGAUGCCAGAAGAAAAAGCUAACUCUUGAGAGGCCAGAAAAUAAAAGUAGCUGUGGAGGAAAAUGUCACGUUGAUGUUCAAAGCUUACAGUUAAGACAUUGCAUUGGGAUAGAUUAGAGAGUUUUACUCUGCAUCAGACCAAUAUCGGCAGUGCCAGGCUAGGUGGGCAUAAUGCUGGCUUGGGCUGGCAAAUUAUGAGCUAUUUGGUUCUGAUUUACAAAAAAAUUAAGUAUUUGACAAGUUAGUGUCAGUUUAUGUUUUUGUUUCUUCAGCAGAAAGUUAAUGCUCUAGUCUGUCCACCCUCUGAUGUGGAAAAGUGACAUAAUUUCCUCCAGCCACUAAGCGUGGCUUGCAGUUGAUUAUUGUUAAAGGUAAUUAAUUUAUGGGUAUGGCUUAAUAAUAAAAUGCCACUUUGAAAAGUAAAUAUGUGUAGAUGUUAUAUGUGCACACUCAAAUCAUUUGAGUUUCCAGUAAGUAGUUUGGCCACUGCAAAAAUCACAUUACUCAAAGGCCUCAGAUACUUCAAACAUCUAUAAGAUGCAAUAAAAAGUUUACUGCAUGCAUCUGUUAAUACAUUUAUUAGUUUUAAAAUAUAAACCAAAAAAAGGAGCAUCUCAACUGAUGUACGUAAAUCUACAUGCACUACCCAUGGCAAUGCAACUUUAACAUCUUGAAUUAGCAUCUGUUUUACAUUGGAUCUAGCUAUAAUGCAUCACACCAAAAAGAGGAGAAAGAAUAGUUGGGAGUGAUUAUGAGGCAGUAAUUUUUUGGGGGCUUCUGGAGGACAUAAAUUUCAAGAUGAAGCAUGGAUUUCAAUUCUUUUGAAUUUUUUUCUUUAAUUUCUGGAUCAUCACAAUUUUUGACAUAUUUUGUACUACUUAAUGUUGUCCUUAAUGGUAAUUAAGUAAUGCAGUUGUCCUCGAAUAAGGGUGUGACAAUAGCAAGCAUUUUAUGCUGCAGUCACACAGAAUGGUAAUGCUAUGCAGAAUCUAUACAAGAAAUUCUCCAAGCCUGGCUUUCUGUAGAGCUGCUCGUUCCAAGCUCAAGUCAUAACACUGUUACUGGAAAAUGAGUCAUCUGAUUUAAGAAUUAACAAUUUUUUUCUUGUUUAUUUUGAAACAUAGAUAUUGAAGGCUUAUGUUUAAAAGAAACUAAACCACCAAUAAAACUAGUUAAAUUGCACAUUUCCAAGGCUAGUAGAUAAUUUUGGUAAAUUUCUGAUUUGCUGAUCACGUCCUCUGUUUUUAAGGCCUUAAAAUCACUCCCUUCUAUUAUAACUUCUAAUAUGUGCUGGAUGAUUUUAUUUCUAAAUUGGUUAGUCUUGCUAUUUUCAGCCAGUGUUCUGUCUGGAAGCAGUGUGAGGUAAGGACUCUGCAAAAAAAAUUGUAAAGUCAAUAUUUUGUUGUAUGGUGCUAAUAUGCAAUUGAAUUAAAAUGUAACUGGAUGGUGACUUUCUUAAAAGGUUUACAGAAAUCAAUACAAUUUAUUUGUUUCUUACUGGUUUCUUCAUAAAUUGAUGCCAUUGUAUAACAUCUGUAGAAAGAUAUUAAGGUGUGUCUAACUGAUAAAUCUGUUUUAUUAUAUAGAAAAACUUCUGCUUAAAUAAUGUUAAUGAAGUUUCUUUCAGUAAUUCUAAUUUUACUUAAUUUAGCAUUGUAUUUGUAAUAUCCUUAUUUUGAAAACGGAAUCUCCAUUUUAAUAUGUGCAUUUUUAAAAGCUUUGUAUUUUGGCUUUUAAAAGGUUUUGAACAAACUUUGCUGUAUCUGAAUUUUUCUGAGAUUACUGCUUAAUUGACUGCAUAGGCAAACUAACAACUGUUUUUUAAGAGAAGUCAUAUUUGCCUUAGGUUCCUAUUCUGAUAAAAUGUGCACGUAAUCCAAAUAGAUUUUUUCAUAAUUUUUAUUUUCUUUACAGUUUUCAUAAAAACAGACUUAAGAAGACAACAAGCAAAUUUGGCUGCAAGUGCUCAGUUUGCUGAUCGUGAUUCACUAGAAAGAGUUUCUACUGCACAAAAUGAACUUCAUGCACCAGAAGAAACUACAAUCUAAUUAAUGUGGGAGAACAGAUGGCAGUGGUACAGCGCACAACUAGUAAAUGGCACUGAAAUAAAUAUGAAGAGCUGCUAAUGGUGCAAUGGUUAGAAAAAUGUGAUAAUUUAUUAACAGUGACCAAUAUUUAUUAGUAGUUCAAAUAAUGGACUCAUUUUAACUGGCUUCAAGAGCAUUAGAUUGUUUUAUUCCAGUAAAAUUAAUAUUUUUGCAAAAUAAACGAUUGGAAGUUUGAUUUGUUUGGACAAAUCAUUUCUACAAAAGAUUUAAACUGGACCAGAUUUCCAUUUUUAUAUGUAAAAGUGUAUGAGAGUAAAGUAUCUUCGUCAGUCUUACAUAUGGACUUUCUGUUUUAAGUGUUAUUUUUAAUUGUUACUUUACCAGUGUCUGGUAAUUUUCCAAAUGUAAGCACACUGUAUUUUUGACAUUCUCAUUACUUUUUUAAAAAGAACUGUUUUGUUUUUCUUUUAGUUAUUGCUCUUGGGCAUGUUGGAUGAGUUCUGUAAACGGGUCAGUGUUCUGAAAAGUGAGGGAGAAUUCAGUCUCUCGAAAAUGUAAACUCUAGCCUUCUUAAUGUUCAAAGAAUUUAGUUUUUUAAGUUAAAUUGUGUAUAAAUAGCUCUUGCACAAUUUGUAACAUCCAUAAAAGCAAUUUCCAUGGAAAUGCACUUGAUACUUGUUAAGUAGUCAAAACUGUAACGUGCUUAGCAGUAACUCGCACAAAUUUGAUAUGUUUGUAAUAUAUAGUUAUAUAUAUCAACUGCGAGUUUGAACUUUCCAUUUUUAUCCAUAGUCAGCUAUGGAUAUCAACUAGUAUAUAUGUGAAAAUAUUAGUGGACAAAAGUUAUUCAUACACCACAAUUUGCACUUAAAUCUAUUCAUUUCACAGGAAUGAAUACAGUAGGUUUAAGUUUCACAGGUGAUAUUCUAUCCUGAACUUCAUAAGAAGCUAGAGAGUAAAAUUGUAAAGUUUGUUGUCCAGUGCAGUCUAUGUACUGUAAGCCCCCAAAUGUUGGGGGUAACAAAUAUCUGUUCAUCACAAUAGUUGUGCCUUUAUUAUUGAUAUGAAAAGAUGCAACGGAUUUUAACUAUGUAGGUGCAUUAAAUUCUAAGAACUGUAUUAAGAUCUAUAUGAUCAACCUCAUGUAAGAUCAUUAGUCUGCCAGAUGGUACUGUAUAUAUUGGCAAUGUAGAACCAAAGUUAUUAAUUAUGCACCUAUCCUGUCCUCAUACAUUGAUAAUCUUAGUCAGAGCGUCUGUAAAGUUGGAGACAAUUCUGUUAUCCACUUGCAAAUACUCAUAGUUCUGUCACUUUACCAGAUGACAACCAUGAAAUUAUAAAACCUGUCACUGUGGAGUGCAUAUAGUUGUGGUUACUUUGGUUCAUGUUUCACAUAUCUGUAUAUAAUUGUAUCAUUUUCUUCAUCGUGAUUUUAAUACACAAUGAAAUUUUUAUUUUGCA